GGCGAUGAGCAUGUGUGGGUCGUGCGCGUCCUCUUGUAAAAUAGUUUAAUUUGUGCGAGCAUAGUGCAGUAAUUUUUAGUUUUUCUUGGCCUUUUUUGUGUCCGCGUGAAUUAUAGAGCAAAAGUAAAGCGUGUUACGUCUUUUUAUUUAAGAAAUCUGGGGAAUGAAAAGCGAUUUGAUUUGCAGAACGAGCUUUAAUUUCAAUAAGUGAAUUCAAAAGGAUGAGUUGCUGCUUUAACGGUUGUCCAAACACUAUCCAUCUUUGUAAAGGAACCAAAAUUAAAUUCUUUAAUUUUCCACAAUUGCCAUAUGUACGGAAAAAAUGGAUAGAGGCUUGUUGCAUAAACCAAAGGGACUUGCCGAACCGCCCUUUUGUGUGCUCACUGCACUUUGUGCAAAGCGAUUUAAUAUUCUGCAAUAAAAAAAUUAUACUUUCUAAAAGCGCUGUGCCAAUCGACAAGUUUGUGCAAGACCUUCAAGUGCAGCCGAAGAUGGAAUAUUCCUAAAUUAACUAGUUGGAGUCAUUACUGAAAUAAAAAUGCAGGGCGUAAAAUUAUCUUUUGACGUGGCAAGAUUAAAUUUUCAAGCGAAUUUCUAAACGGUUAAAAAGAAAGCAUUUGCAUAUUUUAUUCUUAAGCCCAAAAUGCAAUAACGCAGUGGCAGUGGCAGCGGCAGUUUUUGAAAUCAGCUGUUUUUUCGAAAGUGUGGUGUUCAAUGAAGCGUCUCACAAUACAGCAGUGGCAGCUAGCAGUACUGCUCAGUUUAGCCCAAAUUCUAUGUAAAUUCACUGCCACUGCCGCAAACAUCACAAAAACUUGGCAUAUUGAAUUUGACUGAAGCCGUAAAGGCAACAACUAAAAUAUAAACAGACAAAAGGAAAUGUCAAAAAAGCAGUCGCUGAAAAGCCGUAUUGGCUGCAUUUCUUUAUUCAUUCCGAACGUUUGGAAUAAACUUUUUUGUUUACUUAUUAUUUAGAACGUUCCUGAUGAUAUGUUAACGUAUAUUUCAAACGCAUUCUGUUUAUUCCGGCUGUGAAAUGGGAUUAUCCGGAAUGUAUAAAGAAACGCAGCCAUUGUGUUUGCUGCGGCAGUCACUGCCAAUAUUAGCAGUAACAGCUGAUUUUAAAAACUGUCACUGCCACUACCACUGCGCUUUUGUAUUUUGGGCUUUAAGCCGCAAUAUAUGUAUAGACCAAACAAAAUGUUAAGGCAUAGAUCAUAAGCAAGAUACAUUUGUAUGUACAUACAUAUAUGCACAAAAUAAAUUUAUAAGAAUAUAUGUAUGUAUUUGUUUUUAUUUAUUACUAGCAUUACCGUGCGCACAUGCUUGCUCACUCGGUGCCCACAGACGACGAACAAAUCUAAAAACUUAAUUUUGUGCUGCAACCAAAAUGUAUUCAACAAAGUGUGAUCGAAUUUGACAUUG